rnacentral:rRNA from 1 species
UACGUAGGGGGCAAGCGUUGUCCGGAUUCAUUGGGCGUAAAGAGCGUGUAGGCGGCCAGGUAGGUCGGUUGUGAAAACUGGAGGCUCAACCUUCAGAGGUCGACCGAAACCAUCUGGCUAGAGUCCGGGAGAGGAGAGUGGAAUUCCUGGUGUGGCGGUGAAAUGCGCAGAUAUCAGGAAGAACACCCGUGGCUAAGGCGGCUCUCUAGUACGGUACUGACGCUGAGACGCGAAAGCGUGGGGAGCGAACAGG